GACGUAGGGGGCAAGCGUUGUUCGGAAUUAUUGGGCGUAAAGCGCUCGUAGGCGGGACAGGAAGUUCGUGUUGAAAGACCUCGGCUCAACUGAGGGACCGGCUCGAAUACUCUUGUUCUUGAGGCAAUCAGAGGGUGAUGGAAUUCCCGGUGUAGCGGUGAAAUGCGUAGAUAUCGGGAGGGACACCAGUGGCGAAGGCGAUCACCUGGGGUUGUUCUGACGCUGAGGUGCGAAAGCGUGGGGAGCAAACAGG
rnacentral:rRNA from 1 species